rnacentral:rRNA from 1 species
UACGGAGGAGGCAAGCGUUAUCCGGAAUGAUUGGGCGUAAAGCGCCCGUAGGCGGCAGUUCAAGUCUGCUGUGAAAGACAGGAGCUCAACUACUGAAAGGCAGUGGAAACUGAACAGCUAGAGUACGGAAGAGGCAGAGGGAAUUCCCGGUGUAGCGGUGAAAUGCGCAGAUAUCGGGAAGAACACCGGUGGCGAAAGCGGCCUGCUGGGCCGGAACUGACACUGAGGGACGAAAGCGAGGGGAGCGAACG